UUGAAUAUCCCAAGGCGCGUGAGAGAACCCUGGUUAAGGAACUCUGCAAAUUGACACCGUAACUUCGGGAGAAGGUGUGCCGCUGGCGGUUAGUGACUUCGCGUCACGAAGCUGUUGGUGGUCGCAGUGAAAUGGCGGUUGUGACUGUUUACUAAAAACACAGGACUCUGCGAAGUCGUAAGACGACGUAUAGGGUCUGAUGCCUGCCCGGUGCUGGAAGGUUAAGGGGAUAUGUCAGCGCAAGCGAAGCAUUGAACCGAAGCCCCAGUAAACGGCGGCCGUAACAAUAACGGUCCUAAGGUAGCGAAAUUCCUUGUCGGGUAAGUUCCGACCUGCACGAGGGCAUAACAACAUCCGCACUGUCUCGACCAGGGACUCAGCGAAAUUACAUUGGGGGUGAAGAUGCCCUCUACCCGCGGAAAGACGGAAAGACCCCAUGAACCUUUACUGCAACUUGGCAGUGAUUUUCGGGUUGUUCUGCGUAGGAUAGGUGGGAGGCUUUGAAGCCGGGCUUCCGGGUUCGGCAGAGCCAACGUUGAAAUACCACCCUGAAUAAUCUGGAAAUCUAACCUGCGCCCAUGAUCUGGGCGAGGGACACUGCCUGGUGGGCAGUUUGACUGGGGCGGUCGCCUCCUAAAUUGUAACGGAGGCGUGCGACGGUUCCCUCAGGCUGAUUGGAAACCAGCCGUAGAGUGCAAACGCAUAAGGGAGCUUUACUGCGAGACUGACAAGUCGACCAGUUGCGAAAGCAGGUGUUAGUGAUCCGGUGGUACCACAUGGAAGGGCCAUCGCUCAUCGGAUAAAAGGUACUCUGGAUAACAGGCUGAUCGCGCCUGAGAGUUCACAUCGGCGGCGCGGUUUGGCACCUCGAUGUCGGCUCAUCGCAUCCUGGGGCUGGAGCAGGUCCCAAGGGUUUGGCUGUUCGCCAAUUAAAGCGGUACGCGAGCUGGGUUUAAAACGUCGUGAGACAGUUUGGUCCCUAUCUUCCGUGGGCGCAGGACACUUGAGAGGAGCUAUCCAUAGUACGAGAGGACCUGGAUGGACGAACCUCUGGUGCUCCGGUUGUCACGCCAGUGGCAUAGCCGGGUAGCCAUGUUCGGAACAGAUAACCGCUGAAGGCAUAUAAGCGGGAAGCUGGCCUCAAGACUAGGUGUCCCUGACGCAAGUCACUAAAGGCCCCUCGAAGACUACGAGGUUGAUAGGCUCGGUGUGGAAGCGCUGCGAGGCGCGGAGCUAACGAGUACUAAUAGGCCGUGAGGCUUGACCUC
rnacentral:rRNA from 1 species